UUGCAUAAACAACUGGUGCCCCCAGGACUGGCAGCCACUGUGUGCCACGGCCAUGGGCCCCCAGCUCCUGAACUGCGUCCUGCUUUGUCUCCUGGGAGCAGGCCCCGCGGAAGCUGAGGUGACCCAGACCCCGAGACACCUCAUCGCGAAGACCCAAAAGAGGUUGACGAUAAAUUGUUCUCAGAGUAUGAACCAUGAAGCUAUGUACUGGUACCGACAAGACCCAGGGCUGGGUCUAAGGCUGAUCUACUUUUCAAGGAGCGUUGAGUUGUUUGAAACGGGAGAUGUCCCUGAUGGGUACAGUGUCACUCGCAAAGAGAAGGGGAAGUUCCCCCUGACCCUGGAGUGGAGCAGCACCAACCAGACCGCUGUGUACCUAUGUGCCAGCAGUCUAACCACAGCACUGCACAGCCAGCUGCUCUUGGCACAAAAAGGGCAGCCAGAGAGCAAGCAGGCUCCGCCCUCAGGAGGCCCACCCACCGGGAGGGAAAAGUCCCGGCACCACCAGCGCCCUCCUGAUGCCCCGGCUCAGAGGACUCUGAGCAGUGCAGCCCCUCUGCAGUGA